rnacentral:tRNA from 2 species
AGUGCGUUGGCAGACUAGUGCAAUUGAUUUAGGAUCAAUUUAUGGUAUAAAGACCACACACUA